AACGAACGCUGGCGGCGUGCUUAACACAUGCAAGUCGAACGCGGAAGGGACUUCGGUCCUGAGUAAAGUGGAGCACGGGUGAGUAACGCGUGGAUAAUCUGCCCAAUGGACUGGGAUAACAUCUAGAAAGGGGUGCUAAUACCGGAUAAGACCACGGAGUCUUCGGACUCUGCGGCAAAAGGUGGGGACAUUCGGGCCUACCGGCACUGGAUGAGUCCGCGUACCAUUAGCUAGUUGGUGGGGUAAAGGCCUACCAAGGCGACGAUGGGUAGCUGGUCUGAGAGGAUGAUCAGCCACACUGGAACUGAGACACGGUCCAGACUCCUACGGGAGGGAGCAGUGGGGAAUUUUGCGCAAUGGGGGAAACCCUGACGCAGCAACGCCGCGUGAGUGAUGAAGGCCUUCGGGUCGUAAAGCUCUGACAGAGGGGAAGAAAUGUAGCGGUGCUAAUAUCGCCGUUACUUGACGGUACCCUCAAAGGAAGCACCGGCUAACUCCGUGCCAGCAGCCGCGGUAAAAC
rnacentral:rRNA from 1 species